GGCAUGGUGGCUUAGUGGUUAGCACGUUCGCCUCACACCUCCAGGGUCCGGAAUUCGAUUCCCGCCAUGUGU